CAAGUAUUCGCCAAUAUAUUUUUAACUCACCACCGUGCAAGUUGGUCAAGCUUCCAAGCUGUAAACAAAAUCUAAUUCAAGGAUGUCGACUUCUUGUACAAUCACAGUUGGGGGCAACAGUCCAGUUAAUCCCAUUUCAAAACAAAAACAUCCACAAUCACCUACCCCAACAAGGCCAUUAAAUGUGCCAACGGUGACCCACUUUCACUGCCCAGAGAAUGUGAACAGCUGUCAGGCAUUGUGAAAUAUUGGACAACCCUUGAGACAUGCCCAGAAACGAUAAACCAAGAGCCAGUGGACAGAAGACAGGGGCCACCAACGCCUCCCAUCGCUCAUCCGACUGAAAGCGAAACAAAAGACGGCAACCGGCAAACAUGGGGAAUACUUCCGAUUCAGGACCGCGAUCCCGAUGUGGACUGAAAGUGCGAUCGCCCACACAUACGGAAUGAAACAAAGGAUCAGCUUGCCGGGCGAUGAUUAACUCGAAUCGGGUCUGACGCAUACGACGGGGUCUUUUGGAAUGGCAUGUGGACCUCGGGCACCUCGUCAAUGGCAAAAUGUGUAACCAAGCACAAAUGAAUCAUCGAAGUCGGGCCAAAAAGACCAGCCCAGACCGCAGGGCCCCCGAUCGGUAGUCGGAUGUUUUUAAUAAGGCAAGCGACAAACAACCAGAAAUUGGGUCAACCGAGAUAAAUACGAUGCACAUAAAUGGAGCCGAUUUCGGGAGUUCUUUUUCGAAACUUAAUACACUGAUGGAUAUGGGCAGGGAAAGGAGUCCCGAACAAUGGCAGGGCUUUCAUGCGAACUGUCAACUUGUCACGACAAUUAAGCAAGUCGAUGGCUAUCUGGCUAUCUGGCUAUCUAUCGGCGGAGCAUCAGGAAACGCCCACGCAUGCCAGCCGUCUUAAGCGUUAAACAAAUUAAGUAUCCGAUGUGUGGGGGGAGGACUUAUUGAAAUACGACACCAAUCGGAGUGGAUGCAUCAGGUAGAGGCGAUGACCCAAUUCGCCGUGCACUUGCGCGACAAU